rnacentral:rRNA from 1 species
UGGGGAAUAUUGCACAAUGGGGGAAACCCUGAUGCAGCGACGCCGCGUGAAGGAAGAAGUAUCUCGGUAUGUAAACUUCCAUCAGCAGGGAAGAUAGUGACGGUACCUGACUAAGAAGCCCCGGCUAACUACGUGCCAGCAGCCGCGGUAAUACGUAGGGGGCAAGCGUUAUCCGGAUUUACUGGGUGUAAAGGGAGCGUAGACGGUGUGGCAAGUCUGAUGGGAAAGGCAUGGGCUCAACCUGUGGACUGCAUUGGAAACUGUCAUACUUGAGUGCCGGAGGGGUAAGCGGAAUUCCUAGUGUAGCGGUGAAAUGCGUAGAUAUUAGGAGGAACACCAGUGGCGAAGGCGGCUUACUGGACGGUCACUGACGUUGAGGCUCGAAAGCGUGGGGAGCAAACAGG